AUGGUCUACUUCGGCGUCGGCACUUUGAGUACUGUAUACGACAUCCAUUCUUUCGCCGGCAAACAAUCCGAUUUCGCCCUUGCGAUUGUGAAACACGGGCGCAAUGCCCAUUGUUGAGCCGAUGAACGGCGACGGCAGCGCAAGAGUCGUAGUCAACGACGUUGAAGACGCUAGUAUAGUGGAAUUGGUUGGACCGUCUUCCAUUGAUUCUCCCUCUUUUCGGACUUCUGAUACUGCUGAAUCUUCAAUUUCCAUUUCUGAUGAUCAAAUUGCUCCUCUUUUGAUCCAAUCAGAGAGGCCCAAGAUCAACAUCUUCACCAUUUCUUAUCCCAGGGAAAAGCUCAAUAAGGAUGAAGUUAUAAGAGUAGUUGAAACCGGCA
rnacentral:misc_RNA from 1 species